rnacentral:rRNA from 1 species
AUUGAACGCUGGCGGCAGGCCUAACACAUGCAAGUCGAACGGUAACAGGAAGCAGCUUGCUGCUUCGCUGACGAGUGGCGGACGGGUGAGUAAUGUCUGGGAAACUGCCUGAUGGAGGGGGAUAACUACUGGAAACGGUAGCUAAUACCGCAUAACGUCGCAAGACCAAAGAGGGGGACCUUAGGGCCUCUUGCCAUCGGAUGUGCCCAGAUGGGAUUAGCUAGUAGGUGGGGUAACGGCUCACCUAGGCGACGAUCCCUAGCUGGUCUGAGAGGAUGACCAGCCACACUGGAACUGAGACACGGUCCAGACUCCUACGGGAGGCAGCAGUGGGGAAUAUUGCACAAUAGGCGCAAGCCUGAUGCAGCCAUGCCGCGUGUAUGAAGAAGGCCUUCGGGUUGUAAAGUACUUUCAGCGGGGAGGAAGGGAGUAAAGUUAAUACCUUUGCUCAUUGACGUUACCCGCAGAAGAAGCACCGGCUAACUCCGUG